rnacentral:rRNA from 1 species
AGGGUUUGAUUCUGGCUCAGGAUGAACGCUAGCUACAGGCUUAACACAUGCAAGUCGAGGGGAAACGACAUUGGAAGCUUGCUUCCGGUGGGCGUCGACCGGCGCACGGGUGAGUAACGCGUAUCCAACCUGCCCACCACUUGGGAAUAACCUUGCGAAAGUAAGACUAAUGCCCAAUGACAUUGAGUGCAGACAUCUAAUCUCAAUUAAAGAUUUAUCGGUGAUGGAUGGGGAUGCGUCCGAUUAGCUUGUUGGCGGGGUAACGGCCCACCAAGGCAACGAUCGGUAGGGGUUCUGAGAGGAAGGUCCCCCACAUUGGAACUGAGACACGGUCCAA